GCUCUGGUAGUCUAGGAGCUUUUUCCGCUGUGAACCUCGCUCCGCUCGGAGUCGAGAAAAACCUCGGAAAAAGCUGGAAAAUGGUCUAGGAUACAACCCUGUCACGGUUGUGACCCGGGUUCAAAUCCCGGCCAGGGCG
rnacentral:tRNA from 1 species